CAACAGUUUUGAAUAUUUUAUUUUUGUUUGUGUUGUCAAAGUACUCACAACUUGCCACGCAAAAUAAAAAUGGUAUUAACUCUUUUUAUUAUAUAAACAUAAGUGUUAUAUAGAGUUUUUGGCCACUGAGAAUAAUCGUAUUUAAACACACGUAAAAAUACGAUAUUUUUACGUGUGAAAAUAUCAUUUUUUGUAAAACGCAUUGCCACGGACGUUUUAUUGCUUUACACUGAAUUUUGUUUAUAUAAUAAACAGAAAAAUACAUGGCUGUUUGAAAAUACCAGAUUUAUUUCUCGUGUUGAACAUGAUACCUCACUCGUUCGCUGCGCUCACUCGUGAGAUACAAUCACAGUUUAAUCAUUAAACUGCGAUACAAUGUUCAACACUCGAAAUAAAUCUGGUAUUUCCGCGCACCCAUGUAUUAUUCUCUAUAUAGUUCAGUUGUCACCAACAUUUAUAGUCGUUAAUUACGAAUAUAUAUACUGUAAACGAUCCACGUUCACCGUCAAGCAAUAUUUGCAAACGCAACUUAUUGAAUCCAUUUUAGUGCUUGUCCAAUGUUAGUAGAUUGUACAAUCUCGUCUUUUGACAUCGCAAACUGACAACAUCUGCUAUUUCCCAUGAGGAUAACAUUGACUGAAGGCAGAAAUCGUGAUUUCCUUAAGGUUACAGGACACCCUUUUUGGCGUUUUGCGGAAAAUCGCUACUGCGCGCUCAAUAUCAGUCCGAUUUUCAUCAAAUUUUCACCAAAUGUUCUCCAGUGCAUGCAAAAUAUGGUAAAGUUGUAAAAAUAACAAACAGUAAAAUAAUGUAAGAGUUAUUCAGGAAAAUCUUAAAUCGCGGCACCUUUACGCUUUUGAGUUGUGCUCCUGCUGGUUUUAAGUUAUAUUUAUGAAAAUAUCACUUUUAUACAGUAAAAUAGUUGUUCUAAAAAAUUGUGUUCGGAAAUUUUUGUUUAUUUCGUCAUUCCGCUGAUAUGGCGAUUUCUUUGACGACUGCAAUAUAUUUCUGAAUUGUUUGAGUGAAUUGCUCUUUAUUUUUGAAAUAUCCAAAAUUAAAUAAAAGCCGAACACAAUUUUGAAACUGACGUAUUUAGCUGUGUCCUGGGAAAAUUUGAGAAAAAUUGGUUAAAACCCGCAGGAGCAUAACUCGUUUGAAAAUCAGUAAUUACCGUAAAAGUUUUCGUGAGAAAAUUGAAUUUGAAUAUUACAUUUUCAAUGUUUUUCUUAUUGCAGCGAAAUGUAUUUUACUAAAUAACUCUGCGA